rnacentral:rRNA from 1 species
AAGACCGAGCACCGAGACGAGCCUUUAAGGCGAAGUCACUGAUACCACGCUUCCAGGAAAAGCUCCUAAGCUUCAGCUUACGCAGACCGUACCGUAAACCGACACAGGUGGGUAGGAUGAGAAUUCUCAGGCGCUUGAGAGAACUCGGGUGAAGGAACUAGGCAACAUGGCACCGUAACUUCGGGAGAAGGUGCACCCUUUUUGGUGGCUCGUGCGAGCUAUAGCUGAAGAGGGUCGCAGUAACCAGGCCGCUGCGACUGUUUAUCAAAAACACAGCACUCUGCAAACACGAAAGUGGACGUAUAGGGUGUGACGCCUGCCCGGUGCUGGAAGAUUAAAUGAUGGGGUGCAAGCUCUUGACUGAAGUCCCAGUAAACGGCGGCCGUAACAAUAACGGUCCUAAGGUAGCGAAAUUCCUUGUCGGGUAAGUUCCGACCUGCACGAAUGGCGUAACGAUGGCCACACUGUCUCCUCCAGAGACUCAGCGAAGUUGAAAUGUUUGUGAUGAUGCAAUCUCCCCGCGGAAAGACGGAAAGACCCCAUGAACCUUUACUGUAGCUUUACAUUGGACUUUGAACAGAUCUGUGUAGGAUAGGUGGGAGGCUUUGAAGUAAGGUCGCUAGAUCUUAUGGAGCCGACGUUGAAAUACCACCCUGGUGUGUUUGAGGUUCUAACCUUGGCCCGUGAUCCGGGUUGGGGACAGUGUAUGGUGGGCAGUUUGACUGGGGCGGUCUCCUCCCAAAGUGUAACGGAGGAGUUCGAAGGUACGCUAGGCACGGUCGGAAAUCGUGCUGAUAGUGCAUUGGCAUAAGCGUGCUUGACUGCGAGACUGACAAGUCGAGCAGGUACGAAAGUAGGACAAAGUGAUCCGGUGGUUCUGUAUGGAAGGGCCAUCGCUCAACGGAUAAAAGGUACUCCGGGGAUAACAGGCUGAUACCGCCCAAGAGUUCAUAUCGACGGCGGUGUUUGGCACCUCGAUGUCGGCUCAUCACAUCCUGGGGCUGUAGUCGGUCCCAAGGGUAUGGCUGUUCGCCAUUUAAAGUGGUACGCGAGCUGGGUUCAGAACGUCGUGAGACAGUUCGGUCCCUAUCUGCCAUGGGCGUUGGAGAUUUGAGAGGGGCUGCUCCUAGUACGAGAGGACCGGAGUGGACGAACCUCUGGUGUUCCGGUUGUCACGCCAGUGGCAUUGCCGGGUAGCUAUGUUCGGAAGCGAUAACCGCUGAAAGCAUCUAAGCGGGAAGCGCGCCUCAAGAUGAGAUCUCCCGGGGCACAAGCCCCCUGAAGGAACCAUGUAGACUACGUGGUUGAUAGGUCAGGUGUGUAAGUACAGCAAUGUAUUGAGCUAACUGAUACUAAUGAUCCGAGAGGCUUGACC